rnacentral:lncRNA from 1 species
ACCAAUAAGAGAAGCAUAUACACAGCAGGACUUCCCCCAUCAGUCUCCCUUUAUUGGGAGUGGCCAUUGGAGACCAAAGCCAGGGGCUGCCUCAGGUUCCUGGAGCAAGCUCUGGAGUUGCCUGUAGCUAGUGAGAGUCUCUCUCUCCACAGCCCUUUCGGGAGAUCACAGACAACUGCUCCUUGUGGUGGCAUCAGAGCCUUAGCUCCACCUCGGUUCAUGAGUGCCAGGCAGAAGUUGUGACUGAUACCCAGAGGUCAAAAGGCUCAGAUGUGCACUCAGACAGUUCCUGGCAAGCUCCCUGAAGUACCAGCUGACCAAUAGGCCCCUUUUCCAGCUGAAGGUAGAGAUGAACAUGGAUUCG